UACAGAGGGUGCGAGCGUUAAUCGGAUUUACUGGGCGUAAAGCGUGUGUAGGUUGUUGUUCAAGUCAGUUGUGAAAUCCCUGGGCUCAACCUGGGAACUGCUUCUGAGACUGAACGACUAGAGUACGGUAGAGGGUGGUGGAAUUUCCGGUGUAGCGGUGAAAUGCGUAGAUAUCGGAAGGAACAUCAAUGGCGAAGGCAGCCACCUGGGCCUGUACUGACACUGAGACACGAAAGCGUGGGGAUCAAAC
rnacentral:rRNA from 1 species